UACAGAGGUCCCGAGCGUUGUUCGGAUUCAUUGGGCGUAAAGGGUGCGUAGGCGGCGGGGAAAGUCUGAUGUGAAAUCCUGGGGCUCAACCCUGGAACUGCAUUGGAUACUUCCUUGCUAGAGUACUGGAGAGGAAACUGGAAUUUACGGUGUAGCAGUGAAAUGCGUAGAGAUCGUAAGGAAGACCAGUGGCGAAGGCGGGUCUCUGGACAGUUCCUGACACUGAGGCACGAAGGCCAGGGGAGCAAACGGG
rnacentral:rRNA from 1 species